GUGAAUCAUCGAAUCUUUGAACGCACAUUGCGCCCCCUGGUAUUCCGGGGGGCAUGCCUGUUCGAGCGUCAUUUCACCACUCAAGCCUCGCUUGGUAUUGGGCAACGCGGUCCGCCGCGUGCCUCAAAUCGACCGGCUGGGUCUUCUGUCCCCUAAGCGUUGUGGAAACUAUUCGCUAAAGGGUGCUCGGGAGGCUACGCCGUAAAACAAACCCAUUUCUAAGGUUGACCUCGGAUCAGGUAGGGAUACCCGCUGAACUUAAGCAUAUCAAUAAGCGGAGGA
rnacentral:misc_RNA from 1 species